AACGUAGGGAGCUAGCGUUGUUCGGAAUUACUGGGCGUAAAGCGCACGUAGGCGGCUUUGCAAGUUAGAGGUGAAAGCCCGGGGCUCAACUCCGGAAUUGCCUUUAAAACUGCAUCGCUAGAAUUGUGGAGAGGUAAGUGGAAUUCCGAGUGUAGAGGUGAAAUUCGUAGAUAUUCGGAAGAACACCAGUGGCGAAGGCGACUUACUGGACACAUAUUGACGCUGAGGUGCGAAAGCGUGGGGAGCAAACAGG
rnacentral:rRNA from 1 species